AAUUUGGUAGUAGGCAAUCACUUAUUUCAUAUCCAACCAUGUUUAUUACAAAUAUAGGUUCAACCACGAGUGCAUAAUUCGAUGCACAGGUACAUAUAUUGAAGAACUACAGAAGCACCAAGUAAAGAACGAUGAACCACAGUUGUACUAAGGACUGUAUAGAGAGAGACGAAAAACAUUCUGGUUGCUGGAGAAGGUGAAGCGGAAUGCCCAUAUUGUGCCCUCCUCUAUGCAUAAUGCACGCACGACUCUAGGCUAACCCCUUGUGAUGAUUGCCUGUCCAUCCUUCACUGUCUUCAUUACGACUUCUUGAUGCUCAUUGUAGUCUGGAUGAAAUACUUUAACCUUCAUUGUGUGUCCAUCAAUCAUGUACUUUGCGAGGUAAUCUUGAGUGAACUGCUGCGGGAACCACUGCGAACGAAAAAGAUUCAGACAGUGUUGUCUAAGAACUGAUUAUGGGCAGUAAAAAGAGAAGGCUGCAGAAUUUGUAGUUACUAUCCUACAACUCACUGUUGUGUUGGAUAGAGCAUAAACAAAUAAUUUACUUGCCACCAUUCGUAUCUUUUUGCUAAUAAUCCUUAUCAGUUUCCUCACUUGAUGCUUGUACAUGAAUAUCUCAUUGCCCCAUACAAAAAAAGGUCGAUGCGUGGAUCCUUGCCAAGGGCGUAUGUACCUACAAGCCACAAGUCAAUAUUAUAAGCUAACAAGUGUCCAGACCUAGAUCUAUAUGCACUACAUUAUGAACGACAGGGGGAGUACAAGCCGAGGGAUGAAGCUAACCUCGGCGGAAAAUGGUGGCCACUCAUGUUGUUGUCCUGCAUAAGUAGUGGAAAGGCAUGAUAAGUACAUCAACCUUAACAUCAAAUAAAUAUAGCAAAGGUAAUCUUGUGUGCAGAGUGGAUAGCAGCACCGCCUCGGAUGGCCAGCAUGAUCUAACCGUGCCACAAUGCUGAACUGGACGUCUGACACAGCUUUAGCUGAUACUGUAACGUUGAGGCCCAUAACUAUUCUCGCGUGGUGGUUAGUGCGUAAAGGCCAAACGCCAACUCAGAACAAAUACCCAAACCUGUUAGUGCAUUGGGGGCUCGCGGAGACGAGCAGAGACUCACGAUAAUGUGACCCCAUCGCCCCGUCUCAUGGACUUAUGGGUGCUCUAUGGGCCCAUCCGACUUUCACAUCAACUCGCGGGUACCCCUCAGGGCCGACCCGAGUUUAAUAAUGGUCUCAAGUAAAGUCCGGGUAACCGUGUGUCCAUAACAUCAAGGAGGAAAACCCAAGGAAUCACCCCCGGUGGAUUCUACUCGAUGUAAUCAUCAAGGUGAACGUAAGAGGAACCACCCUCGAGGUUCACACUUGAGGGGUUGCACCACAGAGUCGUAUCGGGAGUGGUCAAGGAGGAAUCACCCUCGAUGAUCACGACCGAAUAACUACACUACAGAAUUAUCAUUAGGAGUGCGUUACAGGUAUCACCCUCGGCACUCGAUAAUAGCUCUGUAGAGUCGAGCAAAAAAAGGGGUGUGAUGUGAUGUGAGGUGUCGGGCUCUGGUCCUCGAUCACGUUGAUCGAGUCGUCAAUGAUGAAGCAGGGGAAACAAGGACAAGGUGGGGGUCACUGAUGGAUCACUAACCAACCUAUACUAAGCAGUGUAUAAUAAGGAGGUAGAUAACAAUAGCAGGUACAAAAGUAGGCUAUGCAUUAGAAUAGGAGCAAUCAAUUACAAUAGCAAAAUCUAAUUCAAGCAUGAGAGAAUAGAAUGGGCGAUAUCUGGAUGGUCAAGGGGGGAGGGGCUUGCCUGGAAGCUCCGCUGAAAGGGUAGAAGGGUCGUCGUCGACGUAGUCCAUCACAGUGACAACAUCAGUCUCGGGGUCUACCGGAGAGAAGAGGGGGAAGAAACAGUAAAUACAAAGCACAUAGAUGCACAUCAUAACAAUAAGCGGUGCUAGGGGUGUUCUAACACAGUGCUACGCGAUAUCGGCGAAGGGGGAUAACAUCCGGGAAAGUUUUCCCAGGGUUAGGCAUUUUCGAACAGACGAACUAGAGGGGAAAGGUUUGAUGUUCACUAUCUAGGGACGUGUGGCAGACAAACUGGCCGUAUAUCCGGAAUCGUCUCGAAAUUCUGAGCAACUUUCAUGUACAAAAGUAUUUUCAUCUGAGCUACGGAUUAUUUUCUAUGAUUUUUCAAAGAUUUAAACAAUAUUCUAGAAUUAAUGUUAAGUCAAAAAUAAAGAUUAAUUGCUAGGUGUACACACAGAAGUGUACAUGGCAGUGGCUUUAGUGGCUGACAGGUGGAGUCCAGUGGACUGCUUAGUCAACAGUAGACUGAGACUGUUGACUAGUCAAAGGGCCCAAGGGACCCGCAUGUCAUUGGCUGGGUUAUCCCAGUCACUAGUUUGACUGGUCAAUGUGGGAUCCAGGUGUCAUUCACACAUAUUUCAACAUUUUCUUUUUAAGUGGAUAUUUAGAGGAGGGGGUCCACCUGCCAUAGGCUAGUAGCUAAUCUAACUACUAACUUCGUUUCUAAAUAUAAGUCUUUCUAGAGAUUACACUAUAGACUACAUAUGGAUCAAAAUUAGUGAAUCUACACUCUAAAAUGUGUCUAUAUACAUCCGUAGGUAAUUUGUAGUGGAAUCUCUAAAAACACUUAUAUUUAGGAACGGAGGGAGUAGUAAUUAACGCUAAACUACUUUGCACAUGGCGGGCCAGAGGCACAACCAGCCUCAUGGCUUGUGCGCACACAUGCACACAUAGCGGCGCUAUAGGCAGCAACGGUAGGUAGUAGCAGCGCCUCAGCAAGCAGUAGGCAGGGCUGCGAGCGGCUGCGGGGUCACGCGGACAGGCGCCGGGCGCGGCGGGGCUAGCAGGGCGGCUGCAUGGCGAGCAGCUGCCGGCGGCAGAGGCAAGCGGCAGCUGCAGUACCCAGUAGCAGCAGCGCAGCAACACCAACAACAGCUAUGCGAGAACAGCAAUAGCAGCACAGCCAUGAACAGCAGGAGCAUGUGAGCGUGCGUGAGUGGACCAGUUCCAGCCACGGUGAGCGGCGGUGCGAGUGGGACGUCGUCUACGGUGAUAGAUUUGAAGGGGAAACAGAGGGGAUCGAUCGAGGUGCUCACAGUGAGCACGUAGGCGUGGUCGGGGAGGCCGGAGGCAAACCGUAG
rnacentral:lncRNA from 1 species